UUGAGCCGUAUGCGCUGAAAGGCGCACGUACGGUUCUUAGGGGGGAGUCAGCCAGGAAUGGCUGGCUCCCACCCGAC
rnacentral:ncRNA from 1 species